rnacentral:rRNA from 1 species
GACGAACGCUGGCGGCGUGCUUAACACAUGCAAGUCGAACGGUAAGGCUCCAGCUUGCUGGGGUACACGAGUGGCGAACGGGUGAGUAACACGUGGGUGACCUGCCCUGCACUUCGGGAUAAGCCUGGGAAACUGGGUCUAAUACCGGAUAGGACCGCACCGUGAGGGUGUGGUGGAAAGUUUUUUCGGUGUGGGAUGGGCCCGCGGCCUAUCAGCUUGUUGGUGGGGUAAUGGCCUACCAAGGCGGCGACGGGUAGCCGGCCUGAGAGGGUGGACGGCCACAUUGGGACUGAGACACGGCCCAGACUCCUACGGGAGGCAGCAGUGGGGAAUAUUGCACAAUGGGCGGAAGCCUGAUGCAGCGACGCCGCGUGGGGGAUGACGGCCUUCGGGUUGUAAACUCCUUUCACCAUCGACGAAGGGUUUCUGACGGUAGAUGGAGAAGAAGCACCGGCUAACUACGUGCCAGCAGCCGCGGUAAUACGUAGGGUGCGAGCGUUGUCCGGAAUUACUGGGCGUAAAGAGCUCGUAGGUGGUUUGUCGCGUCGUCUGUGAAAUUCCGGGGCUUAACUCCGGGCGUGCAGGCGAUACGGGCAUAACUUGAGUACUGUAGGGGAGACUGGAAUUCCUGGUGUAGCGGUGAAAUGCGCAGAUAUCAGGAGGAACACCGGUGGCGAAGGCGGGUCUCUGGGCAGUAACUGACGCUGAGGAGCGAAAGCAUGGGGAGCGAACAGGAUUAGAUACCCUGGUAGUCCAUGCCGUAAGCGGUGGGCGCUAGGUGUGGGUUUCCUUCCACGGGAUCCGUGCCGUAGCUAACGCAUUAAGCGCCCCGCCUGGGGAGUACGGCCGCAAGGCUAAAACUCAAAGGAAUUGACGGGGGCCCGCACAAGCGGCGGAGCAUGUGGAUUAAUUCGAUGCAACGCGAAGAACCUUACCUGGGCUUGACAUAUACAGGAUCGCGCCAGAGAUGGUGUUUCCCUUGUGGCUUGUAUACAGGUGGUGCAUGGUUGUCGUCAGCUCGUGUCGUGAGAUGUUGGGUUAAGUCCCGCAACGAGCGCAACCCUUGUCUUAUGUUGCCAGCACGUUGUGGUGGGGACUCGUAAGAAACUGCCGGGGUUAACUCGGAGGAAGGUGGGGAUGACGUCAAAUCAUCAUGCCCCUUAUGUCCAGGGCUUCACACAUGCUACAAUGGUCGGUACAGUGGGUUGCCAGUCCGUGAGGGCGAGCUAAUCCCGCAAAGCCGGUCUUAGUUCGGAUCGGGGUCUGCAACUCGACCCCGUGAAGUCGGAGUCGCUAGUAAUCGCAGAUCAGCAACGCUGCGGUGAAUACGUUCCCGGGCCU